GCUUACGGCCAUAGCAGCCGCAGAACGCCCGGUCUCCUCUGAUCUCGGAAGCUAAGAAGGCUUGAGCCUGGUUACUACUUGGAUGGGAGACCUCCUGGGAAUACCAGGUGCUGUAAGCU
ensembl:rRNA 5S_rRNA 5S ribosomal RNA